rnacentral:rRNA from 1 species
UACAGAGGUGGCAAGCGUUGUUCGGAAUUACUGGGCGUAAAGGGCGCGUAGGUGGCCUUUUGAGUCAGACGUGAAAUCCCCCGGCUUAACCUGGGAACUGCGUCUGAUACUGGAAGGCUUGAGUUCGGGAGAGGGAUGUGGAAUUCCAGGUGUAGCGGUGAAAUGCGUAGAUAUCUGGAGGAACACCGGGUGGCGAAGGCGGCAUCCUGGACCGAAACUGACACUGAAGCGCGAAAGCCAGGGGAGCAAACGGGG